rnacentral:lncRNA from 1 species
AAAAAUCAUUUUGUAAUCUCUUAGAGAGUUUCAGCCCAAAAAAACGUUACUAUACAAAUCGGUAGUUCUACUCAAAGCCAUUCCAUGCUUAUUCCAAUUCCCAUUAGCUCUUCUUGUGUUUGUAUAUUAGAAUCAUCAAAGAGCCAAUUUUCCAGCAAAGUUAAGUGUAAUUCCGUCUCCAAAUUUUGUUUCCUAAUUCCCUUUUGGAAUAAAAAUCCAUUUUCAUCCUUGAAAUUUUGCAAAUAUUGUUUAUUGCAUUCGACUUGGAAAAUUCCAGCAUUCUCAAGUGUGAAAGCAGCAACUUUGAUAUGCAGUUACGUAUUUUUCGCAAAAAUAAGUGUUAGAGGGAUUAUCAAGAGAAUCGGCUCAGGUAUGUUAAGGUUAGUCCUUCUUUCUUUUGGCAUGAUCCAAGUGACGAUACGUAAACGUAAUGAUAUUACAUAAGUGGUUCUACUCUUAACAGUUAAGGAUGUCCAUGUUAUUCAUUCCCGUAAAGUAAUAUUCAAGCAUGUCUAAGUACGUAUCUAGUUCCCUAUUGAGGUAUAUGAUAAAGAUAUUAAUAUUCAUAAUAUAAGUGACAUAUGCACCUACAAUCACCACUAAUUUAUUCUAACAGAAGAUGUUAAAAUACAAGAAAGUGUUUGUCAACUGCUAUACUAUGUCCGCAAGAAGAAUAGUCUUCAGCUAUUAUUGUUUAUCUGUUAGUUUCCAAAGAUAGUUUCAGCUAGUAAUAUGUUCUUGCAAGAAUAUUUUGCCUUUCAAUGACUUUCAUAAGCAAUUCACUUAACGAAAGAAGAUAUAUCUCCUGAACUAAUUAUUUAUAAAAAGAAAAGGGUGAAGCUUAAAAUGUAUAAAGAUGAUCUUGAAUUUUCUAAUUUAAAAAAAACACUAUUUUUAACUUAAGCUGUGACAAUUAGCCAAAAAGUAUUAAAUUGAAAUAUUAUGGAAAAUGUGAACUUGCUUUUUGAAGUUAGUGUUUGAUUGUGAUUCUAAUGGGUGGUGGGCAUUGACAACAUGUUUGUGGUUAAGGUAUUUGAUAAAGAUGUUAAUGUUUAUAAUACAGUGAUACAUGCAUCUUCAUGUAUUUACCACUGUGCUACGGUUGGUCGGGCAGUUACCACCGGUUGUGCACUUAUGUAUAAUUAUUUACCACCGGUUGGGUAGUCGUGCAUAUUCAUUUACCACCGAGCUACGACCGGUUGGGCAGUUAUACGUUUACCAUCGAGCUAAGGUCGGUCGGGCAGUUACCACUGAUCAGUUGGGCAGUCAUGCAUCAUACGAUUUGAAUAAUGGAGAUAGUCUCAAGGAGAAGCAGCAUAUAUAUAUAUAUAAGUAAGUAUAAUAUGUAUGCAUAUACAGUGGUACUUCAGAGAUUCAGGUUAAUUUUUAUAUGUCUUCAAUUAAUGUUGACUUAUUGUUAUGUUUCAGUUCCGCCUUACAUACUUAGUACAUUAUUCAUACUGACGUUUUUUUGUUGAGGACGUUGCAUUCAUGCCUGCAGGUAGAUAAUCAAUAUGACGAACUCUCAUAAUAGACGAGACUGACAUUCAACAAAGGAUCGGUAAGACUCUACUCAUUCGGAGUGCAGCCGGCCCAUAUGAGCUCAUGUUUUAAGAAAAAUAGUUUAGCGAUACAGUGUUGCCCCUUACAGUUGUACAUUAUGAGUUGUGGCCAUAUGGGCCCAUGAUAGUUACAAAGAAUAAAAAAGAGUUGCAGAGUGGUAUGCUCGGGCCACAAUGGCACCGAGUGCCAGUCACGCUUCCCCGGGUUCGGGGCGUGACAAAGUAGUAUCGACCUCCAACAGAUUGAGCACUUCAGGUGCUAAUACCACAUCUUGGAGGCCUAUCAAUGCUAUGAGUUUGUCCUUUGUACUUGCAUAGAAUAACAAAAAAAUUAGUGUAAAUUUGACUAUCCACUGCUGUUGAUUUGCAUUGCUUUUAUGGUGGCCUUAUCAUCUGAACCACCGUUCAUAUUCCUGUUGCUAGGGCAGUGUUUCAUGAUAAUCAUUUGGACAAAAAGGUAUGCUCCCCUUAGAUUGUCUCUGUCAACCAUAACCAUGAGUAGUAGUGGAGGCCAAAUGUGGUGGAGUUAUGAUUCUUUGAGCUUUUCUCUAAGGGAGGACUACUGUAGGCUUUGGGCAAUAAUGCCCUCAGUCCUGUGAGUGUAAUAGUAUCGAAUUGCUCUCAGGUUCUUAUGGAUUUUGAGUGUUGAUUAUGAUAGUGAACUGUAAUUGCCAGUUUGUGGUGC